rnacentral:ncRNA from 1 species
UUAAAUGCUUUGAAGGGAAGAGUAGACGUUAGAAUGUUCUUAAAGCGAAUCAGGGAUGGUGAGAGCCUGAAGAAAUACUAAAGUUGAAAGACAUCCUGGAGCAGAUUAUCUGAAAGCGUUACAGUUAUUAGGAUAAUUCGGUUGGUCACCGUUAAAGAUAUGAGGGAACUAUUUAUGAAUGAUAAUUGGUUAAUAAGAAUGGUACCGUGGGUAAUAUAGCUCACUUCUUAA